rnacentral:lncRNA from 1 species
GUCUGGUCUUUCAGCAUGGCCACCUCCGGGGCGGUCAAAUUCUACAAAGCCGCUUUGACCAAGGGCCCCUGCAGCUGCAGAGCCCGGUGCCAUGUAUGAACUCCGUUUCGCGUCCUCCUUAGGCCAGAGCUUUCCCCUCUCUCCGUUCUUCCCUGAGCCGUAACUGGGCCUCUGGGUCUGCUGAUGAGAACCACGUAACCUCUCCAGUCAGGUGUUUCAGGUGCAGCAAUCUGUUUUUAAAAUGUUUGCAACAGUUGCUGGUGGGCCAGGUGGCAGCCAUAAGCCAGGCAGUGUACCGCGUCUCCCAAUGUCUCCAGUAACUGAUCCAUCCCCUGCAGGCUCCCUGGACUGGAAUGGGCGCUCAGACGUGAUGUGCGGUGCCGGAUAGUGCUGUGCCAAGACGUCAGCCCUGUGGGGAGCGCUGCUGAUGGAGGCGCUGGGAGCCAGAAGCGCAUUACUGCGCAGCCACAGUCUGCCCAGGAAGGCGCCUGGACGGGAAAGGGCAGCGCACCCAUUGCUGCCCUGGCGGCCAGCCUGCAAGGGCCGGGUUCCCGAGGCCUCCGAAACGUCCCUCAGGGCCCUGCAGCAGUUCGCGACGACCCCCUGCAGUACAAUUGCUUGAAACCAUCAGCCAGAAUUAAUGUCAAGUGGCUCUCAUUUCAUGAAGUAAUUAGAGCACAGGCAAGUGUUGACAACUUUCAUGGAAUUCUCCUGGAGGCUUAAGUAAUAUCUAAGCUGCAAGACAAUGCAAGCCUCUUUGUCCAUUAAAACAUGGAAUCUGUUGUAGCAGUUUCUGAAAGCAAAGGAAAAGGAGGUAAGAGGACACCGGAGUCUUACUCUGAUUUGCAAAUGAUCACUACCCUUUAAAAGGACAAAGCAGUUUGGUACUAAAGUCAGAAAUUAAAGAGGUAAUUUCUGACCAGUGGCAUUUAUCUACCUUAGGCAAAUGACCAGGUUAACUAAUCCAGCUCACUAUCUUUUCUCUAAUAAGUUAUAUCCUGCUUUGGAGAAGAAUGCGCUAGAACAGUUGAAUACCAUGUUUUCUCUGGUUCAUACUUCAGAUCACAAAACCUUUGUCUGCACAUCUUGACUCAAACCAGGCAGCGUGGACUGCCAUAGGCCAGUGCUUUUCUGCUUUUUUGGCUACAGCUUGCAAUAAGAAGAAUAUUCUGUAACAGCACUAAGGGUACACAUGAAGCAGAAAUAUUUCUCCUAACUCUGGGGUUUCUUGCUAUUUUUUAUUUAUUCUGUAUCAUUAUUUUAAAUGCUAAUUGAGACUUAGUAAAUCGCUUUCAUGAUUGCUAAUGAGUUGCAAUCUCUAUCUUGAAAAAUAUUGCCCUGAGGAAUGCCGGAAUUUCUUUAUCCAUUCCUGGAUAGGAAGACUCUUUGAAAAUUGCCCAAAUGUGCAUAGACAUGUUAGUACAUGCAGAUACGUUGGUCUUUUCUGAAACAUGGAUGGAAAUACUUUCCUGCUGCUGCACUUUUGACCUGAGUUUCCUGAUGAUUUGUUGGGACUGAUGUUUCCACUUGCCAGAAGUUCAAAAGCCCUUCUUAAAGCAGCCUUGUUAAUGUUCCCACUUGCCAGAAGCAAGUUCAAAGGCCUUUCUCAAACUAGCUCAUUAUGACUUGGAAGAUAAAUGGGUUCACCUUUUAUAGAGAGCUAUUACAUGAAUUUUUUCCCCUCUCCUUGUAAUCUCUUACAGCACUAUUGUCGUAAAAUUAUAAAAACAGAAGCUCAUUCUUUAUACAGACCAUCUGGAGAAUUUUACACAAAGUGAUGCAAGGAAAAUACAGUACAUGAUUCUAGAGAACAAAACUCCAGCUGUGUCAGUUGUAGUCAUAGAUUUUAUAGUUUAAAAUACAUUGAUUUAAUAACAUUCUUAUUAAACACUCUUUUCAAACCUCAGUUACUCUCCUGUUUAUUUUAAUUAUUCUUACAAAUUUUCAAUUUAAGAAUGUUUUACAGGUAUUCAGAGUCCACUAUGAUUGUAUUAAUUGAUUUUUAUAGUACCUUAUAGUCCAUAACAUCUUUUUGUUUUUGUUAUAUUGAUCACUAUUACCAACUAAUAAUAGUGAUAGUGUUCUCACAACAGCCCCAAGGCCUCAUAGGGCAGGUAUAUUUGUCUUUGACAAUUGAGUUAGUCCAAUGGAAUAGAAAAAAGAUAGUGAUCACAAAAGAUGAAAUUCUUGUCUUAACUCUCCUCCUUACUCAGGUGGAUGAACCUGUGAAAGUCACUGAAUUUCCUGGGUUGGUAUGUAGGAUGUUAUAUCAUUAUUUAAAAGAGAUAACUUAUGUUAAAUUGCCUAGUUCAGUGACAGGAGCAUAGUACAGUAGGUCUUGAGAUAUGAGUUUGUUUGAAUAUAAGCAUGAGGCAAAAAUUUUUUUUUAAGUUUAUUUUAUUUAUCUGAAAGGCAGUGUUACAGAGAAAGUGGGAGAGACAGAGAGUGUGAGAAAGAGAUCUUCCACCUACUGUUCACUCCCUAAAUGGCUGCAAAGGCCAGGGCUGGGUCAGGCUGAAGCCAGAGUCAGGAACUCCUUCCUAGUCUCCAGUCUAGGUGGCAAAGGCCAUCUUUCUCUGCUUUCCUAGAUGGAUUAUAAGGGAGCUUGAUUGGAAGUGUCAGGACUCAAAUUGGUGCUCAUAUGGUAAGCAGGUGUUGUGGGAGGCUGCUUAACCCGCCAUGUUACAACCCUGGCCACACAAGUGGGUUUCAAGACUUCAGAGCCAACAGUCUUUUCCUUUGGCCAGACUGCCUCUGUCUUCUUAAUGGAAUGAAUUUGUGAUAUACUUAAUAAAGAAUAAAAAUUCACAA